AAAGACGGUCUUGCUGUCACUUAUAGAUGGAUCCGCGCUGCAUUAGCUAGUUGGUAAGGUAACGGCUUACCAAGGCAACGAUGCAUAGCCGACCUGAGAGGGUGAUCGGCCACACUGGAACUGAGACACGGUCCAGACUCCUACGGGAGGCAGCAGUAGGGAAUCUUCCGCAAUGGGCGAAAGCCUGACGGAGCAACGCCGCGUGAGUGAUGAAGGUCUUCGGAUCGUAAAACUCUGUUAUUAGGGAAGAACAUAUGUGUAAGUAACUGUGCACAUCUUGACGGUACCUAAUCAGAAAGCCACGGCUAACUACGUGCCAGCAGCCGCGGUAAUACGUAGGUGGCAAGCGUUAUCCGGAAUUAUUGGGCGUAAAGCGCGCGUAGGCGGUUUUUUAAGUCUGAUGUGAAAGCCCACGGCUCAACCGUGGAGGGUCAUUGGAAACUGGAAAACUUGAGUGCAGAAGAGGAAAGUGGAAUUCCAUGUGUAGCGGUGAAAUGCGCAGAGAUAUGGAGGAACACCAGUGGCGAAGGCGACUUUCUGGUCUGUAACUGACGCUGAUGUGCGAAAGCGUGGGGAUCAAACAGGAUUAGAUACCCUGGUAGUCCACGCCGUAAACGAUGAGUGCUAAGUGUUAGGGGGUUUCCGCCCCUUAGUGCUGCAGCUAACGCAUUAAGCACUCCGCCUGGGGAGUACGACCGCAAGGUUGAAACUCAAAGGAAUUGACGGGGACCCGCACAAGCGGUGGAGCAUGUGGUUUAAUUCGAAGCAACGCGAAGAACCUUACCAAAUCUUGACAUCCUUUGACAACUCUAGAGAUAGAGCCUUCCCCUUCGGGGGACAAAGUGACAGGUGGUGCAUGGUUGUCGUCAGCUCGUGUCGUGAGAUGUUGGGUUAAGUCCCGCAACGAGCGCAACCCUUAAGCUUAGUUGCCAUCAUUAAGUUGGGCACUCUAAGUUGACUGCCGGUGACAAACCGGAGGAAGGUGGGGAUGACGUCAAAUCAUCAUGCCCCUUAUGAUUUGGGCUACACACGUGCUACAAUGGACAAUACAAAGGGCAGCGAAACCGCGAGGUCAAGCAAAUCCCAUAAAGUUGUUCUCAGUUCGGAUUGUAGUCUGCAACUCGACUACAUGAAGCUGGAAUCGCUAGUAAUCGUAGAUCAGCAUGCUACGGUGAAUACAUUCCCGGGUCUUGUACACACCGCCCGUCACACCACGAGAGUUUGUAACACCCGAAGCCGGUGGAGUAACCUUUUAGGAGCUAGCCGUCGAAGGUGGGACAAAUGAUUGGGGUGAAGUCGUAACAAGGUAGCCGUAUCGGAAGGUGCGGCUGGAUCACCU
rnacentral:rRNA from 1 species